GUCAAGCUGACGAGUCGCAAAUAGGACGAAACGUGCGUCUUGGAU
rnacentral:hammerhead_ribozyme from 1 species